UACGUAGGGCGCAAGCGUUGUCCGGAAUUAUUGGGCGUAAAGAGCUCGUAGGCGGCUCGUCGCGUCAGCUGUGAAAACCCGCGGCUUAACCGUGGGCUUGCAGCUGAUACGGGCGGGCUAGAGUUCGGUAGGGGAGACUGGAAUUCCUGGUGUAGCGGUGAAAUGCGCAGAUAUCAGGAGGAACACCGGUGGCGAAGGCGGGUCUCUGGGCCGAUACUGACGCUGAGGAGCGAAAGCGUGGGGAGCGAACAGG
rnacentral:rRNA from 1 species